AGAAUUGUCCACUUUUGUUUCCCACCAUCCGAAGUCGAAGUUCCCUGAGUGAAUUAUUUUUGGUAAUCAAGAUGAAAAUCUGUGCAGCAGUUUUGAUUAUAUUAUUGAUUGGAAUUGUUGAUUCGCAUAGUUUAGGCGAUACGCAUGGAUUCGAUUAUAUCAUUAAUGGACUAUUUACAAACCAUACUCCGAGCAUGUAUAUGGAGUUUCAAUACAUUAUAUUUGAUCCGGAUUGGCCAUGUCACAUUGCGGUAAAUGACCCAGGGAGUGGAUGGAACAAUGCGUACCAUGCAGCUAAUGGUUUUGAGACCUGUGAAUUUGCAGAACGAGCCAUGGAAUAUGAAAGACCAGUUAGAAUGUUCGGUAAAAAUUCAGAAGGAUGGGUAACUGGAGUGUAUGGCAUCGAAUAUGCUGGCAGAAAUUCCACAUUUAAACGCAGUGACAAGUAUGCGAAAUUUAAUGUUCCGGCCUAAAUAUAAUACAUGGAGGAUAAAAGGAUGUAAUACCAACUCAUUUUAUUAGAAGCACACAAUAAUAAAUAUUGCAAUUCGAUUGAAUACAAUUUCUUUUGUUCUUUGUUUUAUUUUGGUUUGCAGCUUGCAAUUGAAGACAACGAAACUUUUUUAAACUCAUGUUGUAAUUGACCUUGCAUGUAUCACGUAUUUAGGUAUUCAGAGCUUUCGUCCGUAUUUAUCCAUUUGAUAGUAAAUAUCCCAUCGAUGUUUCAUAAUCCUCCCUUACCAAUUAUAAGUUCGAGUCACACUUCUCACUUAUCUUUAUCUGAUCCCCUGAAACGCAAAAAUGAAAUAAGAUGGCAAUUUUGUGCGGUUUUUUUAAUUUUUUUUAUUAUUUUUAAUUUAGUUUGUAGUUUUACAGUUAAAGGUUGUUUUUUGGGAACUUUGAAGUGUUCAAUUUGACAUAUUUUAACAGAUAUAUAUGUUCUUUAUGCUUUCAUUUUGGUAAUAAAAUGUGUGUAUGUUCUGUUGCACCAAUGAGUCAACUGAUUUUCCAUUUAAUUGCAGUCGUUUUCUAUUAUCGAAUUUGGUUGGUUUGUUUUUCUGUCUAUUUGAACGAAAUGUUGAAAUUGAAUUGAUAUCGUAAAUAAAUACGUAUAGCAAACCAAAUUACAGUAGCAACGCUAAAAUCGAUUCGUCUAUAAGUGAAAAUGGCUUUAGGAGCUGCUGAGACAUCAUUGAAUGUUUUGUUGUAAUUGUGUUCAUUUUCAUGGUAACUUUCGCUUUGAAUUCGGCUAUUGAAGUGAUUUGAUUUCGUUAAAACAUUCCGCAUACAUUUGGAUUGGCUCGGUAGAUGUCGAGCAUUUUGCAGCUACUGUAUUUUCAUACUGGAAUCGGUUUCUAUUGCAUCAGAAUCCAUUUGCUUUAUCAUAUCAUUAUAAUAAUAAUUUUUAUUUUCGUGUGAAGUAUCCUAAAACUGCGUCGAUUAAAUACUUUCUAAUUGUAUGACAUUAUUCACUAUUAAUAUUUGUAUGGUUUUCUGUUGUUGUUUGCUUCAUUCCAUCAUGUUGUUUUAUAUUCAAUUUCAUGAUUCUCAUUUACGAUAUUGUACUUUUUUUUAAAACACACAAAUUACAUACUAAAAAAAUUUGAUUACUUUUUUGUUGUUUUUUGUCCGGAAAAGGUUUCAUCCUCAAUCGAAUUUCGAGUGGUGGCUGUUUUAAAACUACUGGGACACAAAAUUGAACAUUGAAGAGAUGUAAGCAUCGAAUGGAUUCUACGGUAAUUUUGUAAUUUAUAUCUUAAUCAAAAAUGAUGAAUGAAUAAAAAAAUGUCGAUGUUUUGUUUUGCCUUUGUCUACGAACGAACGAAAAAAAUGCAUUCAAAAAAAGCGUUUUCUUCUUUAAAAGUGAUGUUCGAUUUUUGCUAUCGUUAGAGUAAAAAUUACUUGAAUUAUUUGUUUUCAUUUUGUCAUAUAUUCACAUUUAAAAUUACGAUCAAAAAAAGCAAAAUGCCUAAAAUCGUUAAAAGGUGGUUCAAAUUGUUCAAGUCAUUUUUAAUUCGAUUGUAAUUUUUUUUAGUCUUUUUUUUCUAUCGAUCUGAUCGUAUUUUGUUUUUCUUGUGGUUAAUGAAUGAAGCCUGAUUUUGGUGUAUAUAUUCUGAUCUCUAAUUAGCCGUACGAAUUCAGUUGUAUCAAUUGGUUGUUAUUUCAUUUGCAAUUAGGGGAGUGUGUUUAACUUAAGAAAAAGUCGAAUUAAAUACUCUUCAAUUUGAAUUACUUCAUCUGUUUGUAUAAUAUUUUCAAUUUGAGUCAUGUGCAAAUCUGUUUGUUUGUGUGUAUGUAUGUAAAUUUAAAUGUGUCUCUAAAAUUGUCAUUUUGUUUUUCAUUUAUUUGCAAUAGAUACUGUGUGUAAACUAUUCAUCCGGCUUCUGUUCUCUAUUCAUGCCAUACGUGUUACUCCAAUCGCCGAAGGUAAAAAGAGCCAACAGUGUCUGUUGUUCGUCAUAAAUCCAUUGUUUUGUACACAAUACUGUUUCAUUUUAUUUAGAUCUGUUUAUUAUUCAUGCUUCUUAAUUUCAUUUCGCCUCCAAAUGCAGUAAUCAUUUUACAUAAUAAUAAUGUUAAAUAUAAUAGAAUAGCAAUAAUCCAAGUAACAACAUGAAUCUAUUCACCCUUAUCUCUCUCGUUUUCAUAAAUAGAUAAAAUUAGAUUGUUUUUCUUUUAAAAAUGGUUUCAAGACUUGAAUGUGGUUGACAAUUUGAACGAACGAUGGCACACAUAUAUUCGUCUCUAUCCGCAUCGAGUAAAUGUUUCAUCGUGCUAGAAUUCGAUGACACGUCUAAUUUUAAGCUCAAAAUGUUGAAUAUUCACGUCGUGGUUGUGUUUUACUCACACAAUCAAAACGUUUCUAUUUGAGUUUGCCUAUGGUAAUUUAUAGCCAAAUGAAACAUUUAAUCGACCAUAAUCAUUGACAACCUCAUAGCGGACGUUAGCAUUAUACUAAAAACAGUGUUCAACUUUUGUAUUUAAUCGAUAUUUUUUCUAAAUGAAAAAAAACAAAUUCUGCAGAGAAGUCAACUGACAGGACGAAAUGGGAUAAAAGUGGAAAUUGAUUCGCUCAAAUGAAGUAGAGGAGAGAGAAAAAAAGAACAGAAAAAAAAACUUAUCGCUACAAAGCUAAAAAUAACAGAUCGAAGAAAAUGUGUUUCAUUUCUAAUUUAGGUAUAAAAAAAUGCAAUUUUUGUUUCAAUUCUUGUUCACUUCUGGUGCAUUAGCCGCUUCUCCGCUGCUCUCAUUCCCAUUAUCUUUCAAAAAACGAACAUAUCUCGAUGUGGGUACACUUGUUUCAAUGUGGGAGAGAUGGGAGAGGGAUUGAGAGAAAAAACGAUGCAAAAACAUUUUCAUUUUUUUUUUGGUUUACUUACAAAUUAUUAUGAAUAUAUUUUAUAUCAAUAGACAGAUGCCUUAGUUGGUAGGAAAGAAAUGUACCGGGGUGUGGUUAAAAAAACAAAGUCUUUAAAAGUUGGUUAUUGGAAGAGAAUCGAUUGAUUGAUUGGUUAAUUCAAAUAGUCUUUUCUCUUGAAAAAAAUAUCAUUAACAAAAAAAAGUUUAUUAACAUUUUCGCUUGCGA